UUUUUUAUUUAUUUUAGUUAAAUAUUUAUAUAUUAUAUUUAUAAAAUUUAAUUAAAAGUUUAAUUUUAACUUGUUUAUUUAAUUAAUUAUUAUUUUACAUGUAUUUUUUAUUAAAAAUAUUUUUUCAGUAAUUAGUUUUAUUAAAUUAGUAUUUUAAUUUUAGUAAUUAUUUAUAGAUCUAAUAAAAUUUGUGCCAGCAAUUGCGGUUAAACAAAUAGAUUAAUUAAAUAUUUUUGGUUAUAAUAAAUUGUUUAAUUAUGAAUUCAUUAAAAUUUUAAGGUGAAAUUUAAAUUUUAAUAUUUUUAAAGAAAAUUAUUUAAUAAAAUUAUAUUAAAACUAGGAUUAGAUACCCUAUUAUUGUUUUUGUAAAUUUAAAUUCUGGAUUAGUAUUAGUUAUGUUCUUUAAAAUUAAAAAAUUUGGCGGUAUUUUAUUCAGUUCAGAGGAACCUGUCCUGUAAUUGAUAGUCCACAAUAUUUUCUACUUAUUCUUUUAGCUUGUAUAUCGUUGUUAACGAAUUUUUUUAUAGGGGAAAUUUUCUUAUAUUUUUAUGUUAAUAAAUUUCAGAUCAAGGUGCAGCUUAUGGCUAAGAAGAGGUGGGUUACAAUAAAUUUAUUUUUGGUUAUUUGAUUUAAAUAUUUAAUAUAAAUUGGAUUUGAUAGUAAUUGUAUUUAUUUAAUUAUAAUGAUUAUUGUUUUAAAAUAUGUACAUAUUGCCCGUCGCUCUCAAUAAUUUGAGAUAAGUCGUAACAAAGUAGAUGUACUGGAAAGUGUAUCUAGAAUAUG
rnacentral:ncRNA from 1 species